AUUGAACGCUGGCGGCAUGCCUUACACAUGCAAGUCGAACGGUAACAGGCCGCAAGGUGCUGACGAGUGGCGAACGGGUGAGUAAUACAUCGGAACGUGCCCGAUCGUGGGGGAUAACGCAGCGAAAGCUGUGCUAAUACCGCAUACGAUCUACGGAUGAAAGCGGGGGAUCGCAAGACCUCGCGCGGACGGAGCGGCCGAUGGCAGAUUAGGUAGUUGGUGGGGUAAAGGCCUACCAAGCCGACGAUCUGUAGCUGGUCUGAGAGGACGACCAGCCACACUGGGACUGAGACACGGCCCAGACUCCUACGGGAGGCAGCAGUGGGGAAUUUUGGACAAUGGGCGCAAGCCUGAUCCAGCCAUGCCGCGUGCAGGAUGAAGGCCUUCGGGUUGUAAACUGCUUUUGUACGGAACGAAAAGGUUUCUUUUAAUACAGGGAACUGAUGACGGUACCGUAAGAAUAAGCACCGGCUAACUACGUGCCAGCAGCCGCCGUAAUAC
rnacentral:rRNA from 1 species